GGAGAGGCAGUUCUCCUCACAAAUUUCCAAGGAAAUCAAAAUCACUGAAGAAGCAGCAGACUGAUUUGCCAAUCAACAAAUCCAAAGAGCUGGAGAAGAAGGAGGAGCAAAUUGAUCUCAUCAAGAAGCACAGAAAGCAAAUUGCCAAAGACCGUAUUAAAGCCCUAUUUUCUGGAGCUUCUCCUUCCCGUGAUCACCGGCCUGUGCCCAAAGCUCCCGACGGCGACGACGACCACGGCAAAGAUGUUGAUAUGGGGGAAAUGGCUGAUGACUCCAGGAGUGAAGGAGAUACAUGAUGGAUAUUAAGUGAUCAUCGAUACUCAUUUUUUUCUGCUUGCAUAUGGAUGUGCUGAUUCUUUGAUUCUUCCUUUCUUUCAAAUACUACUUGAUUGCUACUUUGCUUGCUAUUAUAUCAUCAGCUUCUGCUGUUGAUGAUGAUUCGUUGAUUGUUUUGUGGUGGCAGUAGCUAGUUUUGGUGAGAGAUCGAUCAUAUUCAUCACUAGUUCAUGCAAUUUAAUCCAGAUUAUUUACGUUGUUAUGAAUGAUUGAUGAUGUGUAGCUGCUUCCUCAUUUUUCGGGAUUACAUUGAAUUAGGUUUCUCAUUUCAUAAUGGGAAUGAAAAACCAUCAUUCAAAUUACAUUUGUUUGUUAGGUUUUCUAUUAACAAUAUAAGAUUAGUUCAUGCAAUUUAAAAUUAGGUUUCCUAUUUUAUUAUAUAGUCUGCAAUAUUUUUUUUGAACAUAAAAUUAUUCUUUUAUGGCUAACUUUUGUUCGAGAAUCAAUCAUUGUUACUAUUUCUAUGAUUUACCGCCUAAAAAGACGAGAUUGAUUCUAUGAUUUUCACGUAUGCAAAUUGGAUUAUUUAUUCUAGCCUUUUCGAGAUGUGCGUAAUUAAUUCUAUGGCGGAAAAUUUUGGGAAUUAGGGCUCGCUAGAUUUUUGGGCACUGAAGAAAGAACUCUCGAAAAAUAAUUUUAUGCUACAAUACGCACAUAUUUUAAUGUUUUGAACUUGUUAAAUGGGCCUCUUCUUAAAUAUGGUAAUCGAGAGAAGCUAGGUUGAGAAAGAACAACAUGAUAGAAAAUGUAGAGAGAAUUGAUAAUGUCUCUGAUAUAUUCUUUAGAUUACAAUGCACCCUUUUAUAGUGUAAGGGUGAAUCAAAUGUCAAACUAAAAUCUCUUAAAAUCAAAUACAAUCUCUUAAAAUCAAAAGCUAAAGAUUUUAUCGUUGAAUUAUUAUUCAUGAUCUUUGAAUAAUAAUCUUUGACUUAUGNCUACCCCAUUCUGUUCAGGUGUGUAAGGACAUGUUGUUUGGUGGACAAGACCUUUUUCAGUGAGAAGUUUUGCAUCUUGGAAUUUACAUACUCCCCCCCAUUAUCAGAUCUAAGGAUUUGAAUAUUUUUCUUGUAUUGUGUUUGUACUAGAUUAUAGAAGUGGUGAACUUUUCUAAAAACUUACACUUUUGGUAUUUUAAGUAAAUAUACCCACGUCAUUCUAGAACAAUACGUACAACAAAUAAGACAAAAAUAAUACUAAACCCAUUAUCACUAGUAACCGGAGCUAGGACCCAAACAUCAGAGUGAAGUAAAGAGAAAACUGACUUCACACGAGUAUUAUUAAGUUUAAAAGAGUGACGAUGGCUCUUAGCCAGAAAACAUGUCUCACAGUUCAAAGGGUGUGAAGUAAUAAGGUUUGGAUAAAUUAACCGUAAAUAUCCUAUGGAUGGAUGUCCUAACCGCCUAUGCCAAAAGCCAAGUCUGUUCCUCUGCCAGUCCUUGAGUUAGCAUCGCAGCACCCUGUUGAGCCAUCCUAUCCACAUAGUAGAGUCCUCGAUAUUCAGUGCCACGCCCAACUAUCUUCCCCGUCCUCGUAUCCUGUAAAAUGCAGAAGCCAGGCUGCAUUAGUAAGUUACAGUGUAAUUCUCUCAUUACGUGGCUAACAGACACCAAUUUGUGGGAUAAAGACGGGAUAUAUAAGCAGUUUGGAAGACAUAAUUCAGAGGAUAAUUUAAUAGUUCCAGCUCCUUCUACAUAUGCUAAAUUUCCACUAGCAGUUUUAACAUAUUUUUUCUGGGUAGGAAAAAUUUCCAUAAAAUCCGAGGCAUCAAAGGACAUAGUAUCUGUGGCUCCACAAUCAAAAAUCCAAUGGUAGUCUUUAUCUGGUGUUCCAGAAUUAGAGGAAGAUAAUGCUAAGGCCUGAACAAAAUAGAGUUGUGAAUGAGUGAGGGGUUUAAAAGGUAUAACCCCUCAUUACCUUCCCCUUCGUGAACCCUAGCCGCCAGGGCACCUCCUCUCUCCUCGUUAAUGCGCGUCUGUGGCGGUGGUGGUCCGACGUUGCCUGCCGGAGUUCCGGCGUUGGUGGCUCGUGUAUCACCGCCUGCCACGCCCCGCCAGUCGUUGCAGCAGACACGAUUGACGUCGGUCUUGUGCCGCUGAUCGCCACCGUCGCUUGUCCAUUCGGACUCCACGGUUGAUUCCGAUUUUUGGACGCAGCUCUUGAUUUCUUCAUUUCGUCCCACCAUUCGGGAAAUCCGAUGAGUAGAACAUCCCUCCUUGGUAUGUUUUUACCUCCACAGUGUAUGCAAACGAGUUUGCUCUUGUCGAUUUCCCCUUUCCUGUUGUUCCAGGUUUGAUUUCCUUGCUGUGGUCGAUUGGAGAGCGGUGGUGGUCGGCUGUGGUUGACCGCGGCGAGUCCGGACCCAAUUCCUACGGUCGGCGAUUCAGAGGAUUUGAGGAUAUCCUCGUUUGUGGCCUGCCUUCGUACCAGUCCGUAGGCUCUUCGACCAGUUGGUAAUGGAUACUUGUCCAUAAUUUCCCUCUUGAUAUUAGCAUAUUUGUCAUCCAAUGCACUUAGAAAUUGAUAGAGGCGAUGGCGCUCCUCCCUCUUCUGAUAUCCCUCUAUGUCUGUCGGACUCGGAUCUCUGGUAUCAAUCGAGAUCCAUAAGUCCUGCAUUUUGAUCCACAACCCUUCUAGUGUCAUAGAUUCUUGUUUGAUUGUCAUGGCUUGUCGGUGCAGAUCAUAGAUUUGGAAUGGAUCAGAUCCACUUCCAUAAGUGAUCGCCAAUCCUUCCCAUAGAUCAGCGGCGGUUGCGUACUGUGAUACCUCAUUCACAAGUCCGGUUUCGAUAUUGUUGAUCACCCAAUUGAAAACGCAGUUAUCCCGUUGCUCCCAUCUCGUGUAGCUGGGAUCGUCAAUUGCGGGUGGUUUUGAAACUCCAUUAAUGUGAGAUGUCAAACCUUUUCCCGCAAUUGCCCGUUUCAUGAGGUUAACCCAUAAUGGGUAAUUCUCCCCAUUGAGUUUCGCCUUGAUGGAAAUCUCUCCAAAAGAUUCAAGUUGGUCGUGGUUUGGUGGUUUAUGGGCCGAUGAAUCUGGAAUUCUGAGGCUUUGUUUGAGGAAUUCUGCAAAUUGUGCAGCAAAUUCCAUCGGGAAAUUUGGUGGGGUGUGGCUAGUUUUUUCUGUGUCUGAAGUUUCUUGUUCUGACAUGGUUUGAUUUGAUGUUGAGCAAAUUUGUAGGGGAGGAAAAAAUAUACAGUGCUGAACAGUAACUUGAACAGUAACUGCCACGUCACAGUAAUUUGAACAGUAACUUGAACAGUAACUGCCACGUCACCUUGAACAGUAACUGCCACGUCACCUUGAACAGUAACUUGAACAGUAACUGCCACGUCACCUUGCACAGUAACUGCCACGUCACCUUGAACAGUAACUGCCACGUUACCUUGAACAGUCACUUGAACAGUCACUUGAACAGUAACUUUACUAUUCACCUUCUCUCCCAACCCUUCACCUGCUCCUCUCUCUCUCUAGAUUGCAGAAAUUUUUUUUCUGCUUUGGUUUGGUGUGUAGUAAAUUUGUAGGGUUCUUUUUGGUGGUUAACCUGCUCUGAUACCAUCUUAAAUAUGGUAAUCGAGAGAAGCUAGGUUGAGAAAGAACAACAUGAUAGAAAAUGUAGAGAGAAUUGAUAAUGUCUCUGAUAUAUUCUUUAGAUUACAAUGCACCCUUUUAUAGUGUAAGGGUGAAUCAAAUGUCAAACUAAAAUCUCUUAAAAUCAAAUACAAUCUCUUAAAAUCAAAAGCUAAAGAUUUUAUCGUUGAAUUAUUAUUCAUGAUCUUUGAAUAAUAAUCUUUGACUUAUGCAAAUGGUUAUUUUCAACACCUCUAGUGUCGCUCACGGCGGCAUCUCGCCGCAGCCCAUCCACCGUCGUUAUCCGCCGCAAAUUGUGCCGUGCGAAUUCAGAUUAUUUUUUACAUCGAUGGAAUUUAGUGGAAUGCAGCUUCUCUCGGAGCUGGGCACGGUGGUGGCGCAGGGCUGCGAUGCCUCCGCCGCCGCCAGUCAGUGACGAGGUAGUAAUCAGUUGUUUCCUAUUCAAUUUGCUUUUUGCUGUAUUUUGAUCGUUGUAAUUUCGAUAUAUUUUUGGUUUAGGG
rnacentral:lncRNA from 1 species